CAUCGUAUCCUAUGUUUUGGGGGUGAAGAUUGUUAUUACUGAAAGGUCAAUUGCAUCCCAUGUUGAACAUGGAAAUAAGUGGAGGAAAAAGGAUUUACAAACAUCCCUCCUAGGUCAAGCGUAUUACUGAUGUAAUCAACCCAACAAUCUUCAAACCCAACACUGAAGGAAAUCCUUUCAAAGAACAAAGAGCUGCACCAGACCUCAAGAGUGUGGCUGAAGAUUAUUCUGGGAACCAUUCACCACGACCAGCCUCUAACUCCUCUGACUACAUCAAUGCAGACCAAAAUGCAUUCUGUAUUAUUAUCAGAAGGGAGUUGAAGAUUUGCUUCCUGCGCUUCUAUUCAGAUAACUGAGAGAUUCUGUCAGAGAACCAGAAACAAUAUGAAGCCCGAGAUCCUACAUCCCUCGGGAAGAUUGUUAUCUGAUGUCUUCAUUGAGAAUGGGUGGUGGAUCAUCUGGAGAAGGCCAAGCUGAUGGCUAGAUCUGGCAAUAGAUGUUGGGAAGCCUCUGAAUGCCAGAAAUCUCAAGAGUAUGGGAAUAAUUAAGAAGAUUUCAAGUCAACCCACUCUGGACACAUCCUGGGAAAUUGUUUGAAAGAUCAGAGGAAGAUCCUCAUGGCUUGCCAGUUCUUCAAGAACGACUGGGGCGGACAAGAAUACGAUGCGAAGUACAAAAUAAUGGAUAUGUGAGAUUAGAUGGAAUGGAAGAUCGACCUCGUGUUAGAAUCACGGCGAGGGGAGGACGGCCGGAGUCGAGAAGAAAUGGUGAUAGAUAAGAGAGGCAAAGGUGGAUUACAUGUGGAGACAGAGGAGAGGUAGGCAUCGCGAUCAAUAGUGGGCGGGCAACAAGCAUGGUGCGGCGCCGCGGGGCAAGAAAGGGGAGAGUGAUUAUUAGAAAUAAAGAUCCGAAUCCCAGAGUAUCGGUUGCCAUCUAUCUUAAUACGGCUGCUGGAUGAAGGUGUUGACAUCCUCUGACUUCACCCUCGACGAUUGUCUAGAUUCAGAAGAAGACUCGUCAGAUACAAGAGAGGCCUCUGAGAAGAAGAUAGCACCUCCGGCAAGAAGGCAAGAAUUGGAGAAGCUUCUGGAAGCAGAUCUUCAGCUCCUCUGAAAUAUAUCUGUACUGGUACGUCUGUUCCUUCUGUUUACCACUAAAUCCUCUGAUGGCUUCUUCUACCCUUCUCUUCACAACCUAUUUUACUACCCAUCUGAAAUCCCACCUUCAAAACCACCAGAACCUCCCACCUUCAACCAGUUCUAAAUGUAUGCCCGUACAUUCAAUAACCUCCCUCUGAACCUAACAAACCCACCCAAAGCACUUCCUCUUCAUCAUCCUCAGAACCAGGAAUCACCCCCAUAUGUUUCUAUCUCUUCUGACUCAGAAUAUCUGAACCCUGAUUCCCAAGCCAAUAGCCCCACAAUUUAAAUGCUCAUAAACCUUGCUUCACAACAACAAACACAAACACAAAUCUGAAGCAACUUCACCUCCACACCAACAAACAACACCAUACCCUUCUGUAAACUCAAACCCUCUGACCCCCACAACUCUGAUAUCACCCCACCAAAAUCUCGCUGCCACCAGAAACCAGAAACUGAACCUUUAGACUUAUAACCCUCUUUACGCUUCACCCCAAAGAUCUGAACCUCAACAGAUGCAGAAUCUGAACCCAAACUGAAUCAGAAAUCUGAACCUCAAACAUUAAAUCUCAGCCCCUGCCAAACUCUCCACCUCAUACCUCUGAACCUGAACAUGAACCUGAACUUUCUACAACCUACCCUGAGGAACCAUCAUGCAGGUGUAAGAAGCUUCAGUACAAAAGGUCAAGUUCCUGACCACUAACUAUGAAAUCAGUGAUGAUCCUAAUCUGUAAGGACAACACACUGGAACAAGACAUUGGCUGGAUGACCCUGAUCUUUUAGACUGAAGAGCAUAUCUGAACAAGUCAGAAAUGGCUAAAAUCAGAGAUGCUGAGGCAAGACUCCCAGGAAGACUUGCCAAAAGAGAAGCUGAAGCAGAAGGCUGGAGGAAAGAGAGAUUGGCCAAGGAAGCUGAGAAGAAGCAAGAAGACUAGAAGAAGAAGAAAAAGCUCGUCAGCUGAAAUCCGAAGGGAAAGGAAGCUGAAAGCUAAGGCUCUGGCGGAUGCCAGAAGCACAAGCUGCUGCUGAGCUGAAGCUCAGCAAGGCUUCUGACCUCCUGGGGGAGUCCUCUUCUGUGAUCCCUAUGGUUCCUUCAACUCUGAAAGAACUUAGCAAAUCAGAAAUGAACUCCGGGCCAGAAUGACAAGGCAAGAUACGUCAACGACAACAUCCAAGAACAUCCUUGCAAUGCUGCCUUCAAGAGAAAUGCCCAGCCUCCGACCCCUAUGCACUUAGGAUUUUUCAUUUAUUUUGCUUGCCUGUUGUUUUUUUUUUUUGCCUUCUCUGGAGUCUGAUGUUUUCUUAUUUCUUGUGCCUUGUGCUCUAUUUUAAUACAAUGUUUUUUUCUCUUCCAAUUAUUUUUUUUACUAUGUCUUUUUUGGAUUCUGACAAAAAGGGGGAGAAGUCAUUAAAUAGCUCUGAUGAAAAUAUUGUCGUAAUACUUAAGCAUUUCUCAACAUAUUAUUUCUUAAAAAUAAAAUUUUAUCUUAACACUGGACUUAAGAAAAUUGCAGAAGAUAUCAAGAACCUCUUUACUUAAAAACUCUGGUAAGAAAACUUCUGUGAACUCCCUAGCACUUAUCUCAGGGGGAGCUUCUGUUAUCUGAUCUAAUAUUAUCAUGGUUUCUCUGCUAAUUAAAGUUGUUUGUCAUCAUCAAAAAAGGGGAGAUUGAGAAACAAAAGACUGUUUCUACAACAGAUUUACCUGAUUUGAUGAAUAACAACGGGAUGAACGCAAAAUGGCACCCUAACGAAAGUUUCUAAGUGUGGCAGGAUUCUAAGAAAGAAGGAAAGAAAUCUGAAGAUAGUCCAUCAGAUAUGCAAAGACCAGAUCAGAUACAAACUAUCAAAAUGAUCAAGAAAGCACUGAAAGUGAAAACAAAGUUCAAGAAAAGUCUAAACUCUGAAGUAAAACAACAAGUAUCAGAUGCAAUCUGAAACAAGAAGUAAGCUCUAGAAGUUCUGACUCUGAAAACAAUACUCAUCUCUAGAUUCCCAGAAGUUUCAGCGCUAUUGAAAGAAACUAUCUGAACCUCAACAUAACAGAAACAGAUUCGAAAGAUUCCCCAGAACACAAAUACUCUGAGCAUGGGAUGCUAAUCAUGAAAGAGUAGUUAAAAGGUCAGUAAAGAUUUGCAAUGGUUUUCCUAAUUAAGAAAGAGAACGUUAAUCUCCGUUUUCAAUAAAGAAGAAACUAACUUGUGGUAAGUAGUCAUUUCAAAGGAGAGAAAGUUAUCCUGCAAGAGCCUAUUUAAGUGAUGGCGUAAAUUCCAUUUAAUAAUCCACACAGUUCAUUUACUACCUCACUUCUAUAUAAAAAGGACUGCCAAAUUCAACAUUCAGCAAUAUACAAGUAUAGCAAACAAGGCCCAAAAAUUAUACUGAAACAUCAACACUCCAGAAAAACACUCUUGCCUCAUAAGAUCUUCCACGAAGCUUUUGCUUAUUAACGUGAAAAACUCUUGUUCUUACUAUUGUAAUGAUCUGCUUUCUUAGAAAAGCCAUUCUAGUUACAUUAAUCUUCAUUUAAUUUGUUUGUUGAUUUCCUCAAGUGACUGCUGUGUAGUCUGUAUACUUGAGAGGACUAAGAGAUUUUUCUCUUAGACGUUGUUUGUAAUCUUUCAAGAUUAGUGGAUUAAGUCCUUGUUGAAGGCGAAAUCACCUUGGCCGGGUGGACUGGAGUAACUUUGUAUUAUAAGCGAACCAGUAUAAAAUCAUUGUGUGGUUUUCAUUUUGAAAAAGCGCUUAUUUUUCCAAACAAUUCAAACCCCCCCUUUCUUGUUUUUCUCACCUUCAAGCAGGACCUAGUUUUAAGACUUUUUAAUUAUGUUAUAAGGAUGCUGAAUUGUGUCAUAGCUCAUACUGCAACUGCGAUCAGAACAGGCAUAUGCGGUAUUCAGUGUUCUACUUUUUGAUAGGAACUGAAAAUCUCUUAAUAGUAUUUAUCCAACAGUAGGGGAUCUUAGUUCAUUACAAGAAAACAUACCAUUCAAUAGGUAGCACUAAAGAAAAAGAAAAUAAUGGAAAAUAUAAAGAAUGAAUGACAUUACAAAAACUCUGAAAUAAAAUUCUACUCACUGAACACUGUGGGAGACGAAAAAAGGAUUUUAUUUAUUUUAUUUUAUUUUAGCUGGCUCAACAUUCAGUCCUCGAUUUAGUAAAAAAAAGAAAAUAUAUAUAUAUACUCUACUGCAAUGCAAUUUAAACCUCGUUGCCUAUUGUAUUCUACGAAUUAGAAUAUGAGGAAAGAUACCUAAAAAGGGAAUGAAACAAGAUUUUAACCAAUCCUGGGUGGAAUAUAUUGCAUGUCAUUGACCUAAAUUAACAAUUAUGGAAUAUUACUGAAUUUGUAAGAUCCUAUGCAUAAAGUUAGAUACAAUAGAAACAGAACCAAGUCCUCCAUGGAACAAUCACAAUUUGAAACAAUCAUUCAUGAACCCAGACCAAGACAUUAACAUUACACACAAAGUGCUAAACUGUAAGGAUAUUAUGGAUCUUAUUUAAGAGGCUGGUUUAAGGAAGACUGUGACUCGGUUUUCAAAGUGCUAUGAGAAGUUGGUAAAGGAAUUUAUUGUUAAUUUGUCUGAAGAAUGUGCUGAUGGCAAGUCUAUGGAAUUCAGGAAAGUGUAUGUGAGAGGCAAGUGUGUAAAUUUCUCUCCUUCAGUGAUCAACAAGUAUUUGGGAAGGCCUGAUGAAGCUCAACCUGAGCUUGAGGUGACUGACAACAAAAUCUGUCAAACAAGUAUUUGGGAAGGCCUGAUGAAGCUCAACCUGAGCUUGAGGUGACUGACAACAAAAUCUGUCAAGUCAUCACUGCUAAUCAGGUAAGGAAGUGGCCUCUCAAAGGAAAAUUGGUGGCAAGUAAAAUGAGUGUCAAGUAUGCAAUGUUGCACAAGAUUGGAGCUGCUAACUGGGUGUCUACCAAUCAAAAAUCUACAGUUGCUGUAAUGCUUAGAAAGUUUAUAUAUGUUGUUGGAACCAAAGCCAAAUUUGACUAUGGCUCCUAUAUUUUUGAUCAAACUUUGAAGCAUGCAGGAAGCUUCAGUGUGAAGGUUCCUAUAGCCUUUCCUUCUCUCAUCUAUGGUAUUGUUUUGAAUAAGUUUCCAAACAUCUUAACUGAGAAUGAUUAUGUGAAGAAAAGAGACAGCCCUAUGUCUUUCAAUCAUAAGUUGUUCCUAGGUACCCAUGUCCCUGACAUUGUCAUGACAUCAGGUGAGACAUCACGUGUAAGCAAUCAGCCAGGUAAAGCUGUUGUCAUUGCAAUGCUCAAAGAAACCUGCAAGGAAUUAGAGGCAAGGAAGCUGAACUUGGAAAAAUUGAUUAGCUCUUUGGAGAUGACUGAAGGUGAUGUGCUAGCUGAUGGUGGAGAAUUUGGUGAAGUUGCUGUUGUUGCAGAAGAAGCUGAAAGACAAGGUGAAGAGGGAGAAGCAGAUGCCAGUCCUGAUGAUGGUACAUAUGAUGAUGCUGACUCUGAGUCAAAUUACUAGAACAUUUCUUGUGAUUGCUUGUAUUUUUAUUUUUUUUGGUCUGUAAUAUUAAGUGUUGCUUUGGCAACAUUUUUGACAAGAAGGGGGAGUAACACUUGUACCCCAGGACAACAUAUUUCUUUGAAGUUGAAGGUCCUCUAAAUAAGAGGUUAUGUUGCUGUUUGCUCUCUGCUUGAUCUUCUCUUGUGCUACUGCUGUUUGAAGUUUAACUUCUAUGUUUGCUAAGUGUAUUAGCUAAUUUGAUUCUCUGCUUGGAUGUGUGCUUUCUGCUGCUGUGAACUCUGUUGUGAUGCCAAGUUGUUUUAGCCAAAAAUUUGCCAAAGGGGAGUUUGUAGAUGUUUUUGGUUGGCUCAUUUAUUGUAAAAACUUACUGUACUUAGAUGGACUUGACUGAUGUCAUGACAUGCUUAAGUAGUAUGUCUGCAAGGAUUAGCUAAUACGGAUUACUGGAUGUCAAACUGAAUGUUAUGACAUUCAUUCAUGACAGCAUUUCUGGAUGUCAAACUGAAUGUUAUGACAUUCAUCCCUGACAGCAGAUGCUAAAGUAUAGGCUGAUUUUUCUGUUAUGUUUCAGUAUUUAUCCUCAGGCUGAUUUUUUCAAGGAAACUAACAGCGUGUGCUAAAUAAGAGACCUAGCAUAUAGCCUAUUUGUUAGCACCCUAAUGUGUGGAAAUUAGGUUUAACUGGCUUAACCCUAAUUUUAUGAAAUUCAAGUUCAAGGCCCAAGUACUGCAUUAUAAAAAGGAUGACAUACCUAUUUUCAGCAGUUGAGUGAUUUGAAGCGUGAAGAUUCAAUAUAUCAUUAUAUUCAUUUUGCAUUGCACUUUCAGUUGUGUCUUGAAUUAGGUUUUACCUGUGAGCCAAGCAAUUAUCACCUAGAUGAUUGCAUUGGACUAGGGUGUUUAUUGAGUUGUAAUUGUUGUGUCACUCUAAGCUUUUAAGCGUGAGUGCUGUGUUUCUUGAUUAAAGCUUUUAAGCAUAAUCAAGAGUUGUUUGAAGUAUAUCUUCACCAUUGACUUUAAAUUCUUAAUGGUUGUAAUCACUGCUGUGAUUGAGGGGGAGUGAGUAGGUACUCAGGUCUAAUUUAGAUGUGAAAUUGCAUUGGGUAGGUCUUAAGUGAUAGGAUUAAACUGGUGGUUUAAGUCUUGAAUUAAUACCUCUUAUAGUGGAUUUCCUCCCUGGCUUGGUAGCCCCCAGAGUAGGUGUGUUUGUCACCGAACUGGGUAAACAAUUCUCUGUGUCAUUUACUGCUUUUUACAUUUACUUUCUGCAUAUAUUACCUGUCUGUGCAAAAUUGGAUGUCAUAACAUCCUGUGUGACAUCGAUAGUCUGUUACUAGAAUUUUACGGAGUCCCAACCUCAUCCUCAACAUCUAUGUAGGAAAAGGAAGAUAUAUGGCUUACCAAGAGAGCCUUCUCUCCCCCUAUCACCACCAACUUCUUAUUCUUAACAAAUUUUAACUUCUGGUGUAGGGUGGAUGUCACGGCGCCUGCCUCGUGAAUCCAUGGUCUGCCCAACAAACAACUAUAUGAUGGGUGGAUAUCCAUGACCUGAAAAGUGAUAUGGAAAUCACUAGGUCCUAUCUUGAUUAGGAGUUCAACCUCACCAAUCACAGUCUUGCGCAAUCCAUCAAAAGCUUUCACGACCACUCCACUCUGCCUCAAGGGAGGCCCCUGGUAUGAAAGUUUGGCGAGAGUGGAUUUUGGCAACACAUUCAAUGAUGAUCUAGUGUCUACCAGCACAUUAGACAUGACAUCAUGCUUGCAGUUCAUGGAGAUGUAAAGUGCCAAAUUGUGGUCUCUUCCCUCCUCGGGGAGAUCAACAUCACAAAAAAUCAAAUUGUUACAAGAAGUAAUGUUUGGAACAAUGCUAUCAAAUUGUUCUAUAGUGACAUCAUGAUCUACGUACACCACGUCCAACACCUUAUGUAAAGCUUCUCGGUGUGGCUCAGAGUUCAUCAACAAAGACAACACAAAUAUCUCUGAAGGCGUUUGUAGAAGCUGAUUUACAACAUUGUACUCACUCCUCUUGAUGAGCCUCAACAUCUCAUCACAGUCCUCUUUCAUCAUGCCAUUCUGGCCAGCAGGGAAAGGAGUUUUAGCAGCAGCGACAGGUCUAUUAACAGCAAGUGCCAGAUUCGGAGAAUUAGAAGAAUUCCCCAAAGGACGAACAACACUAUCAGCAGUAUUAACUCUUCUGGUGUCAGCCUGGGGUUUCGGAGGCGCCGAGAAAACACGACCAAUACGGGUUAGACCACUGACAUCAGCAAUAUUCACAAUAGAAGUGGAGGGUAGGGGCACCUCCUUCCCAUCUUUUAAUGCCACUGCAUUAUAACGAUAGGGAACAGCUUUGUCGGAAGAGUAGGGCACAGGGCCGACUGGCUUAAUUAUGAGAGUAGGAGAAACCUUUUGCUUGCUGCCAUCAUAUCAGACGACAACAGGCUCAGGGAUCCUGAAUAUAGGUGAUAUCACAUUAACUUCAUCAUCCUCAUCACGAUUCUGAAGUAUCUCUAUCACACCCUGAUCCAGCAUUUCUUGGAUGUCUUUUCUAACUUGACGACAUCCUCUCUCAUUGACAGUGCAAACAACAUCCUCAUCACGAUUCUGAAGUAUCUCUAUCACACCCUGAUCCAGCAUUUCUUGGAUGUCUUUUCUAACUUGACGACAUCCUCUCUCAUUGACAGUGCAAACACGACAACUGUCGUGGUCAUGCUCAUAGUGACUGUAUCCGCAUAAUAGUCUGUGCAUCUCGACCAAAGAUUGUCUGAUAUAACUAACAUAUCGGACCUUGUAUUUGCCAGGGCAACCCUGAACCAUAUUGAUAGCAGACUUCCCAUACUCGGGCAAUGGGUUCUUCUUGACAUUAGGACCUACGUCCUCGAAAAACAAUAUACCGCUUCUCACAAGGUCUUGAACCUUGAUCUUCGACGGGUAGCAAUUCUCCACAUCAUGUCCGGGAGCACCGAAAUGAUAAACACAAUGAAGCUCAGGCUUAUACCACCAUUGAGGGUCGAUAGGUAUAGUAGGUGGGUCACGUGGAGUGAUCAGCUUCCUUUCAAUUAAAGAAGGAUAUAGCUCUGUGUAGGUCAUUGGAAUAGGAUCAAAACUGACCCUCUUCCUAUCAUAGCUUGUACUGGUCUGAUUGUUGUUUCGAGGCUGGUAGGCCUGCUGUUAAGGACGAUGUUGUUGUUGUUGAUACUGUUGAUGUUGUUGUUACUGGUUCUGAUUAUGAUGUUGAUAUUGCUGAUCUUCUCUGAAGACAGGUGCUAUAUGAGCCACCUGGUGCUGGUUACUGGCUGGACGCACAGUCUUCCUUUUCAUAGAGGGUCUUCUAGAUUUGACAUGGGAGGUCACAACAUGUGCCUCACCAUCUUUCUUCUUCGCAAAUGCCCCAUAACGUUUGGCAAAAGAGCCUUCUUCUCUAGUCAGGCGCCCUUCCCUGACUUCUUCUUCUAGACACAUCCCCAUGUUCACCAUCUCGGUGAAGUCAGAAGGAGCGCUAGCAAUCAUCCGCUCAUAAUAGAAUGAACUCAAGGUCUUCAGAAAGAUCUUGGUCAUUUCCUUCUCUUCUAGCGGAGGCACAAUCUGUGCAGCCAAGCGCUAGCAAUCAUCCGCUCAUAAUAGAAUGAACUCAAGGUCUUCAGAAAGAUCUUGGUCAUUUCCUUCUCUUCUAGCGGAGGCACAAUCUGUGCAGCCAAUUCUCGCCACCUCUGGGCGUACUCCUGAAACGUUUCUUUCUCCUUCUGGGACAUGGCCCUCAGUUGGUCCCUAUCAGGAGCCAUAUCAAUGUUGUACUUGUAUUGGUUGACGAAGGCUUUGCCAAGGUCGUUGAAGGAGCGGAUGUUCGCGCUGUCGAAACCCAUGUACCAUCUCAAUGCGGCACCAGACAAGCUAUCCUGGAAGUAGUGGAUCAGGAGUUGAUCAUUGUCGGUCUAAGUCGACAUCUUGCGUGCAUAUAUCACAAGAAACUCUAUCAAUGCAUCCUUAUCUCUAAGCUGCUGAAGUAGAUCCUCUCGCUCACGGACCCAAGCAUGCGAACGGUCUUCAUCUCUCAACUCCUCAACUCCUUGGUUAGGGAGGGUUGAAGGCCCAGCCAUAACCAUAAGUGUAGGUCUCGGAUAGUCAUAGGGCAUGCGGUACUCAGAAGCUCUCCUCCUCACCCAUGAGGUAUAGGGUUCCAAAGCAAUACAGUUCUUCGGACCAAGCUCUUUCCUUCCCUUCCUAUGAAUCUUGCACCAAGCGCGAACCAUCCUGCCCUUCAAGUUUUAGGGAUCUUUACCCUCUUGAAAGAACACACCUUCUAACAAAAUGUUAUUAGGUUUAUCCUUUAAGGGGAACCCAAGCUGACGACGUGCCAAAAUAGGGUUGUAGUUAAUCCCACCACAUGUACCAAGAAGAGGCACAUUGGAGAAUUCACCACAAGAGUCAAUAAUUUGCACACCAUCAUAUACACGGUUAUACCAAAAGAUAUCAUCAUUAGUGAGAGACAUAAGUCUCGUGGACCACCGUAGACAUCCUUUGUUCUCCUUGAAGGCGAGCGUCCGUGGCAAGUGCGAAAUAAACGACUUGUACAACAUAGGCAAACAACACACAAUGGUACCACCACCUUUUGCAUUCUUCAUAUGCAAAGAGAAAUAAGUGUCACCCAACAGAGUUGGAACGGGAUUAAGAGUAGAGAAAAUCCUAAUAGCGUUCACAUCCAUAAAAUUGUCGAUGUUGGGGAAUAACACUAGCCCAUAGAUGAGAAGUACAAAUAUGGCCUCAAAAGCGUCCUCACUCAAGGCCUUCCCAAACAUAGUAGCUUGAGCAAUGAGGAAAUCAGAUGGGAGACCUUGAAUUCCACCUUUGGUAGUCAUAUGAGCACCAACAACAGAUUCAUCUAUAUGGAACAGAUCAGCAAUCUCUUGGGAAGAAGGAACUCUCUCCAAGCCACUGAACGACAACUGAUCUAGAAUAGGUAUAUCCACAAGGUAGGCAUACUCCUCAAGCAUAGGCUAAAGCUGGAAAUCCGGAAAUGUGUAGCAACGGUACAAGGGAUCAUAGAACUGUACCAACACAUUCAUCAGACCUUCAUCCACCUGAGUAGCAAGAAUAGACAGAAGCUUCCCAUGACGAGCCUUGAACUCCAAGGGAUCUAAUACAUAGGAUGUCAAACUCCUUAACUCUUUCAAGUCAGGUUGUCUGAAACUGUACUUCUUCGUAUUCCUUCUUUGCUUAUCCAUGUCUGAAAAUUUGCAAAUAGACCUCUUAAGUUCCUUGAAAAAUUUCUCACUAUGGAUGAUAUGGAUGUGUUAUGAAUGCAUGAAUGCAUGGAUGCAACAAUCACACUCAAGGAUCAAGCGAACCACAACACACGUGUAUGGGAUGGAUCAAGUCAUCCUUAAUAUCAAUCAUCCAUUUUGGUGGAUUAUGGUUUACACCUUAUCAACACCCAAGUUCCAUUGAUAUUAAGGAUACUAAGAACGGAUCAACCAUGAAUCAAGGUUUGUUGCAAGUCACGAGCAUGGAUCUCGGUUAAGAACCACCCAAAGGGAGUGUACUAUGGUUAAACCUGACAAUCAUGUUCUACACGAGAGUUCCCAUAGUCAUCAUCCCAUCUUUCAGAUAUUAGCGGAUAAACGACUACUCGUAUUCCAAAAAUAUUCUCAAGAGAGACUCUUAUGAGUGUAGUAUCGCGUAACAAUCGUAUCAAAUCUUACACUUGAACGACCUUUGCACUACGUUCUAAAAAUAUGCCAAGAUGGGCUUGGUAAACUAAGGUCCUUGGUUUCCAAGGCAUAUAUUGGAAAGAGUAAUGCCUAACCACGACUACUCGUGUGACAUUAUUGAUCCCAACAUAACCUCCACCAAGUGAAUGGGCAGGCAAGUCAACUUGCUAAGGAAUAACUCCACACAAGUCAACAAGACUAUGCCAUUCUCCUAUCAUAAGUGGACUCGAGUUCGGGUAUAGAACUCAUCUCACAAGAGACCACCAAGCACACAGGAAAUUAAUAUAUCAAGCAAUUCAUACAUUACAAACAAUACAGUAAUCCCAAAUUUGCACAAAAAUAUGUCACAAAAUAAUAUAAGAAUACAAUACAAGAAAGGUGAAAAGUAGGCAAAACCCACUAGGCAAAUACAUAUCCCCAGCAGAGUCGCCACUUUUCUGUAGCGGGGUAUUCGUUACCUUUAGAUUUAUUGACUAAAUCAAAAGUAAUAGUAUGUUAAGCUCAGCGGUGGCGUGAAGAUAAAUAGGUUUCCUUUCCAUAGAAAGCGAACAAAAACCGAGAAGUUUUAUCAAAUCAAAAAUUAAUAAAAAUGUCAGAGAUCUGGGUAAGGGGGUUAGUUAUGCAAUGGGAAGGUUUUAAGCACCCAAAACAUCCUUAGUACUUUAAGGGAGCCCUUUUCACCAAUGUUGUAAGGUAGGUUGGUAUUUGUGAAAAAUAUUUGUGCAAACAUGUUGGGGAGAUGAGAAAAGAAUGUACAAUUUAUUUACAAUUUUGUGUUUGAAUGGAUAAACCCAUUGCCUACGUACCAUCUUAAAAAAGAUUAGGAUAAAAACCUCGUAGUUCGGGGUAAAAAUAUCAAAGAUUGGUGAAUUGAUUUGAUCAAAAGCCUUAAGGUCUUUUGUUAUCAAAGGGAGAAAACUCAACCUAAACCAACAAUCCACCAUGUGAGGAGAGCUUUAACAUGCUAGUGAGGGGUUAACCCUAUAAUAAGCAUGGAAGAAAUAUAGUCCAUCACUAAGGAUACAGGUGAGUAUUAUAUCAACCUCUAGGAUAACUCAAACCUAAUAGCUAAUGUUUAUGAUUUUUUUGGCAAAAGUGGCCAUUGAAACCACAAAACAAUUGAGUGAGUUGUAUUUACAAAUGAAAAGUAUUUACAAAGUUAGGUCAAAGUUGACUUAAGGAUUCAAUUCAAAAUAAGUGUUAUGAAAAGAGUUUGGAAAAUCAAAAGCAUAGUGCUUAGGUUUCUAAUUUUUGAAAACAAUGUUAAUGUUUGCACAAAAGUUUGGCUAAAUAAGUGUUAUGAAAAGAGUUUGGAAAAUCAAAAGCAUAGUGCUUAGGUUUCUAAUUUUUGAAAACAAUGUUAAUGUUUGCACAAAAGUUUGGCUUGGGUUAGAGUGGAGGGAAGAAGAAGAAUGGAUAAGUCCUAAACAUACAAAGAUGAAGGAAGAGAAAUAAAACCACAUGGAGUUCCCUUUCUUGAGAUCAUAGUGAUGAUCCAAGUUACUCCCAUCCUUUGGAAUUAGCAAGCAAAUAACGAAUAACUCAAGCAAUCAAGCAAAUAACAAUCAAGCUCCUAGGAAUCUUCCAAUGGCUUUUGUAUCUCUCACUUUGGGUGCUCAUGACAAUGGUUCUUCUAAUUAGCUCAAGUUUGGGAUCCCUAUCACACAAGAACACACAAAUAAAAAAGUUUCACAAUACAAAUAAAGAAUGGACAAGAGUGAGUUUAGAAUUAGGCCUUUUCAAUGUUCAUCUUCAACAUUAAGCACUCUAAAGGCAUGAGGUCUAGUUGCUGUUUGACAUUUUUAGCACUCUAAAGGCAAUGAGGCUUAGUUGCUCUUCAAACUCCAUUAACAUAGGUAAGGUCCUAAAAUCUAAGUCCUUUUGUCCAUUUGCAUUGGAUUCACACAAACACAACAAAACAAGCACAAUAGUAUAUACACAAUAAUGUGCUCAAGUGAGCAAAAUGCAAAUUGCAUUAACAUAAACAUGAGCUCAAGUGAGCAAAGGGCAAAAGCAAAUGAAUUAAUGUUCAAGAAAUUAAAUUGCAUUAAAAUAAAUUGCAAGAAUUAAAGGCUUGAACUAAAAGUUAGUGUUAAUAGUUAAUGUUAGUGUGCCAUAAGGCAAUUUAGCGCUAUGUUAAGCAAUCGUAAGUGGACUAAUGUAGUAGUCACACCUAUCUGAGGCCGGUCAAUAAAACUAUGCGCAACAAACACAAGUUAGAGACCAUGACUAGUAAGCCAAGCUCCUACAACUUGCCAUGCCAAAAGAAAAGAAGAAUGAUCUUGUAUUGAUUUAGGUUUUUUCCUUGACCAAGAAGCAACCUAUCCUUAAUGCAAACUCAUUCACUUGAUCUUUGAUCAAGAUGAAUUAGAUUUGAAUCAAGGAAGGUUAAGCCUCUCAUAUGUCAAGGCUAACCACCAAUCUCUAACUCAUUGAUAAAAAAAAGAAAAAGAAGAAGAAGAAGAAGAAUAAGAAUGUACAUGAAUUGAAAUUCAAAUGAAAUAUCCAACACACAUUGAUCAAACAUGAAUAGAAUCAAAAUCAAUCAAUGGUAAACAGAAGCGAGAUGAAGCUUAGAAGUCAAGAAACAAAUAAAAUAUUUUUGGUAUUUUUGAGAAUUAAAAUAAUACUUGAAUUAAAAUAAACAAAUAAAGGUCAAACUUCAAAUCCAUUUCAAAUCAACUUGGAAAAAAGAAACAAAUAAAAUAUUUUUGGUAUUUUUGAGAAUUAAAAUAAUACUUGAAUUAAAAUAAACAAAUAAAGGUCAAACUUCAAAUCCAUUUCAAAUCAACUUGGAAAAGUCCAAAUGGAUCAUCCUAAGUUUAACAAAAAAUUUCAGCAUUUUUAGAAACCAGAAACUAUUUUUAAACAAUUAAAUAUGAAUAAAAAACAACAUAAUUGAACUAAAAUCUCAAAUAAAUCUCAAAUCAAUUAAGAAAUAGAUGAGAAUAUUUUCAUAGAUUCAUCAUCAUUCGAAGAUGUUAAGAAAAUAUUUUUGCAUUUUUUGAAUAUUGGAAACUAUUUUAAAUGAAUUAAAAAAAACUAGAAAAUAGAAAAUUCACAAAAAAUGUCAAAUGAAAAAAAAAAAUAUUAAAAAUCAUUUUUCAGAAACUAGAAUUAAAAAGGGAAAAAAUGCAAUUGGUCCCAUAUAUUUUGGAUUUAAAAUGAAAGAGUUAUGCAUUUUUGAAAUAAAAUGAAAUUAAGAAAAUAAAAUGAAUUAAAUCAGAAAAUGCAAAAAGCCUGGCGCGUUGGAUCAGAUUUCAUUAAAUGACGUGGAAGAUCUGAGGGCAAGGAAACGCGCACGCACCAUAGGCUUUGGUCAAAUGAGACACACACAACAUUAUUAAAAGUCAUAACAAUGGAAGGCAUAGAUCCAAUCUGGAAAUAUGAACCAACGGCCUAAAUGUAAUCUGGCAUGGUGGACGGUGGUGUACACCACCGUCUUCUCCGACGAGCAUGUUAGCUCCGGUGACAUUUGCAGGUCAUGAAAUCUCAACCAAAAUGGACGAAGGAGUAUAGUAACCUUUCGACCCCACUACAUGUAGUGGGGAGUGCCAUUGGUUUCUCCUCUAGACUCUCAUAGAAAGAGAAAUCAGAGAUAGAAAAUUAUGGAGUUCAAACUGAACUUGAUGGAUUCAUGAAAUUAAAUACACAAUUCAAUUGCCUUUUAUGAGAGGACUUCAGAGGAGCCAACAAACACAAGAAAUGAGCAAGAUCCAGUGAGAUUCGAAUUGAAAAAGUUUGAACAACAACCUUUGAAGUGCAUCUCUAUGAAGCACGAUCUCUUCCAACUCUUUGCUUCAGCUUGAUCUUAAGAUGGAAAUGAAGUGAGGCUAAGGAAUUAGAGUUCAAUAAUUAACCAAGGAAGUUGAAAAUUGAAACUGAAAAAUUGAAAGAGAAAUGCAAAAAUUCCUUUGAGUGAGGUGGGGAUUCAGUUCUGCAGCAUGUAAGGCGCCUUAAGGUUUAUCAUGAAUGAAGUUGAGCACUUGAAUUUAUAGCCAAGGUGAUGUAAGCAAGGUGAAAUUCAUGUGUGCAUGAAAUGAGAGCCUUCAUGCAUGGGCCUGUACAGGCGCAGGGGAGGCCCAAACUCAAUUGCAAAUGCAAGCUAAUCAUCAGCAAAAUGAAUUUGGACGUGCAGUUCUGAUGGAAAUGGCUUGUGUACAAAGUUCUCACAUAGUUUCCAUAAAUGCACAUAAAUAUUUACCUCUUAGAAAAUACCUCUUACCAAAAUGAAACAUGGCCUUGUGGAUAAUGGUUGGAAAGGUCUUGACAUGAGGAACAAUUGUUAUGUUGAACAAAAAUCCAUUUGGAGUUGGGAAAUUAAUGAAAACAGGCCAUAAAGUUCAAGGUGCAAAACAUGUAUAUGGAAAUUUAGCCAAAAUGGACCAACUUCAAGCCCUUCUGUUUCAAUGAUGCAAGCCUCAAAUGACAAAACCUUCAACAUCAAAGUUGUAGAUCUUUUCAAGACAAUCAAUUUGGACUUAAAUUUUGCAUCAUUCGGAUUUUUGAUGAGAAAGUUAUGGGCACUUGAAGUUAGACUUUUUCACAUUUUAAUGACUUUGGUCCAAAGUGACCUAUAAUGUUUUGCAUUAUCACAUGUACUUCGUUUAGGAUUAUGAAAAUUUGUCCAACAUAAAAAUUGAAGUAGACAUCUUAAAAUCAAUAAUGACCUAUAAUGUUUUGAAAUGGAUGAUGACCUUCCAAGCUUCAAAUCAAUUUUUAAUGAACAUGAAAGUUGUUCAUAUGGUUCUUAAGAACAUUUUUUCUCUUGGGGUCAUCUUCAUUUGACAAACACAUCAAAAGUUAGGUCUCAGUGGAUUUCAAAAUAGUCAGAUGAGUUGACUGAUCAACUUCUCAAGUUCAAACUUCAAAUCUUGAUGAAUUGAUGAUUGAGGACACUCACAUAGGCACAUAUAUGCAUGAAAUGAUUAAUGAAAGAACUUCCCUUGAUUGUAUUUGAUCAUGGGUUAAGGUUGCUUCAUGAGCAAGGGACAGUUGAUGCAUAGUUGAAUUAGGGUUUCCUUGGGAAACAAUCCUCCAGCCCUUUGGUUUAUCUUGAUCAAAUUGACAAAUUGAGAUACUUGGAAGGCAUAUAUGAUGAUUGAGAUCUUUGUGAACCAUUUUUAUGCUUGCUUUUAACUUCAUCUGGCCAUUCUUUGAGCAUAGGGGCCUCAUAGGAGCCUUGGAUCACAUGCUUUCUUGAGCUACAAGACAAAAGAUGUUAGUGACAUAUUUUUGCGCUUUUGGUUAGUAAACAAAAUGAGAAAAGCAAUAAUAUACAAUUCAAGCAUGCUUGGUGGUCUCAAACCAACUAACACAAGUCCCACCCUAGGGUUAAGGAGCCAAGAUGCUAUGAUCCUUGAGGCAAAUGCAAUGUGCAAUGAUAAGAUGCCAUGAGGGAUCUUAGGGUCAAAAUUAGGGUCUUACAGUUGUGAGACAGGGGGUAAUUAAAAAAGGAAAAAUACAUCUGAAAGAUGUAAAACCUCAUAGGGCCCUUAUAGUAUGAAAGUUAUGGAGAGAACUAACACAUUCAUCCACAACUUUGAUGUGUACACCACCAGUGAAGUAUAAACCAAAGAGAGGAGUUAAGAAGAGUAGAAAGGAUGUAGAGAGUGAUGUGCAUCAUGAUCCUUCAUAGUGGGAGCCUGGUGAGGGCUCGCAGGGGAGUCAAACUACAAAGAGAUCAUGCAAGAAACUAACAGGAAUUCAACCUUCAAGUCUGCCAGGUCAAAGUUACCCAUCAAGUAUGUCAGGUCAAAGUCAACCGACAAUUGCAUCUUCGAGGCAUCUUUACUUGUCUCAAUUUCCUAGUUUCUUGCAUCCCUACAUUGAUGACAUUGUUGAUGUGGGUGACGAUGGAAAUUGUAAUUUUCGCAUUAUUGCAACUUUACUUGGAUGGGGCGAAAAGUCAUUGUCGUUGGUUCAGACGCAGUUAAAUACUCAAGUUCAUCAACACCCUAAAUUGUUUUCCAAUUUAUUUUGUGACACGGUCUCUGAAGUUAGAAAUGCCUUAAAACUAGAACACUUGGGUGUGCAAGGUCGAGAAAAAUGAAUGAUGAUUCCAGAUAGGGGUUACCCUAUUGCUAGUAGGUACAAUGUCAUAUUUGUCUCGCUAUCAAAGAGACUUAACAUUUCUUUUUUCCCCCUUACAUUGGCUCCCUCUAUGUAUACGUGCAACAUAAAAUUGAAACCUGAUAGUCUAUUACAACCAAUCACUGACCGUUGGAGACAGAAUUAUACUGAAGAUGCAAAAGCAUGGGAAUCAACAUAUACAUGCCGAAUUAGGCACUAGGAAGAUGAAGUUAGGAAAUCAUUUUAAGUAGUAUUGAAAUCUUGUACGUAGAACAACUUUUGUGGUAAAUAUGUAUCUAUUAUAUAUGAUAACUUUUUAAUCGAACCAUUUAUGGAGGUCAUUGCACCAAAAAAAUUGAAAUUUCAUGUUUUUGAGAAUUCUGGGAGUAUAUUGGAAAUUUGACAUAAUUUGAAAUUUCAGGUAUACCUGAAAUUCAAAAUUUUCGGGACUUUUAACCAUUUUAUGCAAAAGUCGUGAUUUCCAGUAUAACUCUUUUGGAAAAUUUGAAAUUUCCAAUAAAUGCUUUUCGGAAAUUUGAAAUUUCCGGUACCUAUCUUACAACAGCGGUAAAAACAUGUAAGUUCACAACAAAAAAAUAGUAUUCGCUUAAAGUUUCCGGUACGAAGCUGGAAAUUUCAAAAAUUCCAAAUUUUUUACAAGGAUAUCAUGGUCAUUUCUCUUUAGUUAGGGGGGUGGGGUCAGGUUUAAUUGGGGGGUGUCAAGUUAAAUUCUCUUUAGAGAGGAUGCCCGCUGAUUAUGAGUUGUAUGAGCAUUUACUAUGACAGUUCUUUUCGUGAAAGGUGGACCCAUGUAAAGUGAUUAUGUGUAUUUUUAUGCUUUCGUUAAAAUUAGAACGAAUCAUAAUUACUAUGUUAUUAUGAUUUUUUAUUUCUUAUGUGCAUUUAUGUAAAACUCAAAUGAAAAAGGUUAAAAUAACCUUACAUAUUGGGAACAAUAAUGACUAAACAUACAUAAGAAUCAUAACACACUAAAAAUUAAAAAAUAUUAAAUUUUUGGUGCACAAGAUGAAGCAGCUGAAGAUGGAAUAAGAGAGAGAAUAGAGAUAAUUUAAAUAACAAACUUCCACAACUUUUCAAAACAGUUACAGUAAAUGGUUACACAAUACUCUAUUGACAACUACACAUGUUUAUAUAUACAAACAAUAAUGCCACGCAGGCGAAAAUGCUAACCUACAUUAGCUAAGUUAUGCUUAACAAAACUAAUACUAAUAUUGAAUAUCUAUUAUUUCUAACAUUAUACCUUAUUUCAUAUUCAACUAAUCAAAAUUAACAACACAAAUUCCAUUCGUUAAGUGGAUAAAAUGAUGAGUCUUGAUCGCUUUUGUCAGAACAUCUGCAAGUUACUUCUGGGUGCUACAUCGUAUAACUUCUACCACUCCAUUGUAAACCUGACUUUUAAGAAAGUGAUACUUAGUAUCAAUAUGAUUUCUCCUCCCAUGCAACACUAGGUUCUUGGCAAGAUUGAUUGCAGACUUGUUAUCAAUCAUCAACUUCAGAGGCUUGUUUACCUUGAUCUUCAGAUCCUACAGUAAAUUCAGAACGCAAAUAGUUUGACAUGAAACCACAACACCUAUAAUGUAUUCAACAUCACAGGUUGAUAAAGCAAUAACGGGUUGCUUCUUGGAACACCAAGAAAUAUGACCUCCUAGAUACUUGAACAAAUAUCUAGAAAUACUUCUUCUUUCAACUCUAUCUCCACACCAAUCAGAGCCUGGGUAACACAUCAACUAUGAAUUAGCUUUUUCACCAGAAGGGAACAACACUCCAUACUACAUAGUCCCUUUAAUAUACCUCAGAAUCCUGACAACAACUUGGUAAUGAGACCACUUCGGGUUACUCAUGAACCUACUAACCAUUCCAACUGCAUAGCAAAUAUCUGCUCUGGUAUUACACAAAUACUUCAGAGAGACACCCAAAUGAUUGAAAUUUGUAGCAUAUACAUCAUCACCUUCAGGGUCAGAACCCAAUUUAUGAUUUGUUUCUGAAGGUGUGACAACGGCCUUACAAUCCAGCAACUCAAAUAUCUUCAGAAGCUCAAGUUCAUACUUCAACUGAUGCAAAAUGAUACCCUUCUCGAAGUACAAAAUCUACAUCCCUAGAAAGUAUAUCAUAUUUCCCAUAUCAAUCAUCUCAAACUCAUUCAUCACCACCUUCUUGAACUUCAUUAUCUCAUCUGAACAACUUCCUGUCAGCAAUAUGGCAUUAAUAUAUAGACACACCAAAAUCAUAUUUCCUUCAGAAGGAUACUGAACAUAAACGUCUUACUCCAUCUCAGACUUUCUGAAUCUUUGGAGCUUGAAAAAUGAAUUUAUUUUUAGAUUCCAAGCUCUAGGAGCUUGUUUCAGUCCAUACAACGCUUUAUGUAACAUGUACGCCAUCCCUUCCCGAUUCUUAAAUCCAGGAGGUUGUGACAUAUAUACCACUUCUUGCAAUGGACCGUUCAGAAAUGCAGAUUUCACAUUUAAAUGCAUCAGAGGCCAAUUCCUGUUAGCAGUUAUCAUAAUCACCAGUUUGAUUGUCUCAUGUCUUUCUCGGGAGAAAACACCUCAUAGUAGUCUAACCCGGUUUCUAUAGAAAAACUCUUUCCAAUGACCUUGCUUUGUAUUGGCCAAUUGAUCCAUUUGGCUUCAGUUUCACCUUGAAAAACCAUCUGACGCUGAUGGAUUUCUUGUCCUUUGGAAGCUCAGUAAACUCCCAAGUUUUGCUUCUUUCUAUAGCCUUAAGUUCUUCUUUCAUGGCCUUCACCCAUGCUUUCUUCUUGAGCACUUCUUCAACAUUAAAUGGUUCAGAUUCUACUAACAUGGAACACUGAAUGACUUCUCCCUCAAAGUCUAUUUCAGUAUCUUGUAUCAUGUCAAACUCUGCAAAUCUUAUUGGAAUGUUUCUGAUUCUUUGUGGCCUCUGAACUUGUUCAGAAUCUUCUUCGGGCGCUGGAACAGUCUCAUAGUUGGAACCCCAUAAGUACCACCUUCAGAGGCAUGACCACCUUUAGAGUGUGGAAUAUUUCUAGAGUAUGGAUUUCCACCAGAGUUAGAAUCUCCAUCAGGAUCAGAUUCACCUUUAGAGUCAGACUCGCCUUCCGAGUCACUAUCAGACUUUGAAUCACCUUUAGAGGCAGAAUCCCUUUCAGAAGCAGAUUCUCCUUAAGAGUUGCCUUUUGAUUAUGACUCAUCUUUAGAAGUUAACUCACCAGAGUUGGAUUGAAAUUUGUUUCAAUCCCACACUUAUGUUUUUUUCACAAUGACAUCUCCGUUGAACUCAACCUUGUUAAUGACAGGAAAGUAGAGCUUAUAAGCACAUGUAUUGUGGUACCCUAAAAGCAAUAUAACUUUGCUUCUGUCAUUCGACUUCACUCUCUUAGCAUCUAGAACAUGUUUGUAAUAAAUAGAAUCAAACACCUUCACAUGGAUCACACUUUGCUUAUCUCUAGUCUACAUCUCUAAUGGAACAAUUUCCUUCAGCUUUUUGGUUGGACACCUGUUGAGCACAUAUGUUGCAGUGGUAACAGCUUCUCCCCACAAGGUGUAAGGAAGUUUUUUCUCCUUCAGUAGACUCCUUGUUGUCGUACCCCAGUUUUGUCCAGGCAUUUUCAAAUUUUCGUAAAUUUGAUUUCAUUUUCAAUUUGCAUCAUAUGCAUAGCAUGACAUGCAUUUCAUUAUGAAUAAUACCUAAGAUAUCAGUCGGAAUAAAUUAUUGAAAAUACAGACAAAUUGGUUAAAUCAUUUCUUAAGAACGUGCAAAAUCAGCGGGUAAAAAAUUUCAAAAUUAAAAAUCGCAGAUGCCAAUAUUAUUAAUUUACGGUUCACGUAGUUUAACUUGGUGUGCUCGUUAUAUUUUUCAGUGACUUUUUCAGUUGCAUUUUGACCCGUCUGAGUCUUUCAACCAGUAAAAAUUUAUUUCAGAAUUUGAAGAAACGCUGUAUUUUUUCAAUAAGUAUAUUUCAUGCUGAUCAUUUUAGUGCAUCCGAUUUAAUUUUUCGAGCAAAUUUUCAUCCGACUUCUAUUUAUAAUCGGUCAUUUUAUUUCUUUGUUCAAGUAUCCAAAUUAGAGAUUGUUUUAUUAUUAUUAUUAUUACUAUUAUUAUUAUUAUUAUUAUUAUUAUUAUUUAAAUUGAAAUGGUAUUUAGAAAUUUUUAAUAAGCAUUUUUCUUUAAUAAUAGAUAAUAAUAAUAAUUGUUGUCAAAAGAAAAUAUAUCAGCAUCGGAUUCCUUGACAGCUAGCAAGAUUCACUCUUAUCCCUAUUGGAUUUCUUUUGGCUGAAAUGGAAAUCCCUUCCAAUCAGUGGAGGACACGUAACCACAUGGUCCCCCACUCUCAAUGGUCAUCUCUCUCUUAAUCCUCCCUCUUUCCACUCAUAAUAGGGGCUAACACGAAAAAGAAAAAAAAGAAGAAAAAGUUGAGCACGAAAAAGAAGAUGGAAAAACUCACUCACCUCACGUCUCUCUCUCUCCCCCACUCAUUUUACUCCACCCACUCUUCUCUCUCUCUCUCUUUCAUAAUAAUGACUAACCCUCUUCUCUUUCUGAUCACUCAAAUUCUCUUUUCAAAAAAAUAAUAAAACGAAAAGAACAAAACUCUUCAUCUUCCUUUCUCUCCACCUCACCUUCUUCCAUCACCAUCACAAAUCUGACUCUCCAAGUAAAUCUUCAUCUUCGCUUCUCCACCUUUGUUUAACCUAACGAAACACCGCGCGCCGCCGCGAUUACAUGCACAACCAAGCACUUCCCUCCUCUCACACACCCUUCACGAUAACCAUCCUUCAUUUUCCGAUAACCCAAACCCUCAGUCACCGGCGAAACCCUCAGAGCAACCACCAUCUCCGUCCGCGUCAAAGCAACGACCUCCAUACCUCCGUCCUCCAUCGAAAUGCGCCACGAUCCGAAUCACACAAACAACCUUCACAACCAUGACAAUACCACAUCCCUUGAUGUUUUCUAGAUGAUUGAAAGCGUUUUAAAAUUAUCUACUUCCUAGAUUUGGUUGUUGAUGGUCCGAUGGCGACUUCAAUGCACAAUAGAGCUUUGAGCUCAAUCCAUGGACAUUUCUGCUUGGGCGAGAACAAGGGAGAAAACCUCAUGUUUUCUGGAAGGACGUGAGCAAUAAAGCACAGAAGCAACCACAUCAAUCCUUGGACAAUCGGUAAUGUUUAAGUUCGUAUGUUGUAUAGAUUAAAUUCAAGAUUUGUUUUCUGUUUAAGCUAUUUUAGUGAAUUGAGAUUGGAGUUUUCAUGUUGAAAACUUUGAGUUGAUUGUUUGAUAUUCAUUUCGACUGGGUGUGUUUGCCAAAUUUGUUCGGGCGUGAGCUUAUUGUGAGUUUUAUUAUGAGUUGCUUAUUUGAUAUUCCACAUUGUAGUGAUGGUUACAGGUUAUGAAAUAUUGGUUCAUGUUGCAAAUGUAUGGUGAGGCGUUGAAAAUAUGUUGCUUGCAACACUUGUGAUAUUGUGCCAGUAAAUGAAGAAUUGGAAAAAGAGAUCCUAUUUAGUUGUUUUUAUUUAACAUUAAUUUAGCAUGAUUGGUUAAUUGUUUUUUUGAGACUUGAGUUUAAAAUUCAGAUUUUGGGUCAUUUGAAUGGUUAAGAGAUGGGCUCGUUCUUUUACUAGCUUAGUGUAUCCUGGCUUUACUAAUAAUAAAUUUCCAUAUGUUGUAUUAAAUUUGUAAGGAUGUGUGCGAUUGAUGUUUCUGUUUGCGUUGCUUGAUAGAAUUUAUAAUCAAUGGACUCGACAAUAUAUGUCGUUAUGCCACCAAAAACCCAAUAUAUCAAUAGAAUAUUUUCACCGCGUUCGGAUCUUGCGAAUCAUAUUGGGCAUGUUAUUGUUUCGCACAAACCGGUUCGAGCACACCGAC
rnacentral:lncRNA from 1 species